ensembl:lncRNA
CGGAAAGACUGUUGAGAGGUUUUGGCCAGGAGAAGGGAUGUAGGUGGGGCUAUCACUGUAGCUCACCUGGCCACAUGUUUAUACAUUAUCCAGCCCACAUGUGUAUCUCUGUCUCGCUGAAGAGCACAGCAGAGGAAACGUUCAACACUGCAUCACCAAGCAAAAGGGAUGAACUUAUACAGGAAUUUUGGGACCCUUCUUGAGACUUGGUUGACAGACACUAUUUCCGAAGAUAACUCUACGGAAGAGCCCCCUCAGGCACCUGAAACCCUUACUCCCAGUAAGAGUGCCAUGGGGACAGACUCCCAAAGGACUGGUAUGCUGCUGAAGUCUGAAUCGGAGGACUCCGGCUUGGAGGAAGCACCAAUCAGUCCUCAGGGCUCAGAGCAGAGCUUCUCGUUGGCCAGAGACAGUGACCUGGUGGACAGUGAAGGCCCACUAUCCCGAGCUGCCCCUUUACCCUCAUCCCAAGUUUCCUGUAACCAGUCACAGAACAUAGUGGAGCGGGCAUUGCAGAGGACCAGGCAGACCAGCAUCGGCAGCAGGAGGAAAGCCUUUUCCCUGUCUUUCACAAACUCUUGGACCUUGUCAUUCAACUUCAAUGAGAGAUCAGGAGAGCAGGAACUACCUGCUGUUCUAACCCCUCAACCGCUGAAAAAUCAGCAUUGCCAACAGGAACCUAAACCCAACAACGAGAGGUCUGAGGAUCAGACCCAGAGACAAGCGUGGCAGUUGCAGCUUGAAGCAGCAACGAUCUCCAUCCCCCAGGAUGAGGUGAAACUCUCGGCUUCCCCGUCCCAUGGAUGGCCCUCCUUUGGGCCGACGUACCUGGAGCAGGUCUGUAGGCUCCUGGAGGAGAUCGCAAGGCUGCGGGCCAGGAACCAAGAACUGGAGAGAGAGAAAGAGAGGUUGCAAGAGCAACAGAGGAGCAAGGAUGUGACGUCCAGCCAGUAUCUCCAUAGUGGCAGCAAAACCGGCGGUCAAGAGCCAGCACUGAAGAGUCGUGGGUAUGAGUUCAAGCACUUUUCAUUGAAGAGCAAACCAUCCUCUGAUAAAGUCCUGCGACGCUCCAUCUCCGACUCAAAUCUCAGCGAUUGCGGCAUUGGGAACCUGAUGAAGCAGCAGCAGUCUGAGAGCGUUGGGAACCUGAGCAUGUUUUCAGAGGUGGACAAGAUGAGCCAGACCACAGCCCAGAAGGAGAAGGAAACUCACAAGACCAGCAGCCUAAAGAGGACUAUAUGGAAAAAAAAGGACAAGCAAAACAAGGAGUUGGACAGUCAACAAACAUCACCUUGCGAAGAACAAAAAUCCAGCCAACAUCUUGGACUGCUGUUCAAGAAGAUGUCCUUGAAAAAGCCCUAAAGGCUGUGGUGGAACCAUUCCAUUAUGGCUCUAGAGAGGAGGUGUUGAGGACAUCCCUGUCACCAUGCUAUAGCCUUUACUCAUUUGGCUAAGGCUUUUCUCCACAGUGACUUACAGCGUUAAACUUCUGAAAAUUGUUCUCCCAUUUACACAGCUGGGUAAUUUUACUGGAUUAAGUCAGGGUAAGUACUUUUCUCAAGGGCGCUUCAGAAAGAGGUGCGAUUCAGACCUGGGUCCUUUGAGUUGAUGGACAACAGCUCUAUCCACGACUCUACCUCCUACCACACUCUACUACAGGAGGUCCCUUUGGCUCUAAAGAUCCUUCUCAUGAGCCAUUACUCAUGAGCUGCAGACUGGACGGAGCAGGGAGGUCCACAUAGCUACACGCCUGUGUCCAGCUCCCAGCUGAGACCAGAACCAUCUUACCAGUUUGAGGAGGACCUGGUAUCACUCUGAGUAAAGUGACUGAAACAAGAACGGUUGGUUACCCACACAGGUGCACCUUCUCAAUUUUUACAGAUUAACAACUUUUUCGUUAACUACACCCAGGUAUUAUGUAUAAAAGCUGCUCGGAGAGCCAUGUAUUAUUUUUCCUCAGUAUGAGCAGGAAGUUGAGGUGGAUUUGGAACUUCCAACUGAUGACUGAAUUAAUCUGUAUUUAUUCACUUAGCCAACACUUUUCUCCAAAGGAAAUAAAUGCCUAUAUAUUUACA